UUGCAUUAAAAUAGUCAUGAAUAUGCAGAAGUCAGCCGGUGUUUCAGAUCCAUUGUCUCUCCCUGGCACUUUCAUCUCCCCUUGAAAAGCAGAUCAUGGGUUUUCGAGAAAGGUGGGCUGGGCCAGUCUUCCCACAGCCUGGCAGCAAGGGUCAUUAUUUCGUUUCUACAUAUUAGAAAAGGAAAAGGCUCGGCUGGUGUGAAAUCUUUUCUUUUUGUUCUAGUCAGGCUAAGGGUUGUGGGCGAAUCUCCAAUCUGACCUAGAGGCACCAUUCUGAAUCUGCUGGGCAGAGCUCUGGCUUACAACUCCGCAUGCAUCCCUGGUCACUUGGGUUUCAUUAAGUCCUUAGACACCACUGAGGGACUUGGAGACAGAUCCCUGACAGACAGACAGACGGGAAAGGAACCAGAGAUAACAAAGAUGGUACACCUCCAUCUUCUUCUGCAUAAUUCUCCCAGUUUUCACCCACCAGCAGGGAUCCCCUUCUGGCUGACUGGUGCAGGAUGGCCAGAUGUGUUCAAGGUCCAUUCUAAACAUAUUUAUGUGAGCUGUGGGCUGGUCAGCUAUUGACCAACCCCAAAUCAUAGGAGGAGAAUCUGCCCUAUACCACCAAAACCAGGCCCUCCCGCUGGAUUUCACUCCCUUCUCUGCUUUGAUAAAUGAACCAGAUCAAGACACCUAAACAGUAAACCAUACAGGGACAUGACUAUGCUCCAUGGACUGUAUAUGAAGCAGUGAUUAGGGGACUCCUGCCACAGUUCUAGGGCCCUAGGUGAAAGGACUUUGAAGUCCUGGAGGGAAAAAUAAGAGCUAUGGACAAAUCAGGAGCUGUAUACCAAAGCUUUCAUUGCUAAAAAGCAAUACAAUCUUUUGAGUCACAGAGGAUCUUAAGCAGUUUUCAUGUGGUGAAAACAUUAUUUGUAUAAAUUAACAAGACGAG